GAUACUGUGUUUGUAUAUGGAUUAUAAAAUCCAUUGCCUGUUACCAGGCUAGGAAAGAGAGGAUGAUGAAAAAUGUGUUUUUAAAAAGAUCAUUGGAUCUGAUCAGGUAGAGAGUUAUUGAUCCGGAUAAACUGUGCCUGAAAUUCCAGGGGCUACUUUCAGUCGUAGUGGGGAGGAGGAGCCUAAUCAAACUGAAAAGAGGGCCCUCUGUUCCUUAACUGUGGAGACAGUCUUUCGUCCACUGCUCUGAACAGAUGGUGCUUGCAGCCACCUUGUGACUAUGAGGGGACAAAGCUACACUCUGAGGGUUCCUGAGCAGGGAGGUCACCAUCCUGAGCCAAACAUCUGGAGCUCUUACCCUGCACAGGGACGUAGGUCCUAGGAACACAAGGGCUCAUGGUCAGGGAUCGUGUGGGAUCCUCCUUGAUGCUGAAGAUGCAAUCAUGAGCAAAGGUAGCAAGUUCUGUGGAGUGACUGUGACACAGCCUUAGUAUAAGGGGAUGGGGGGGAAGUACAGGGGAGGAUGAGGCAGGAAAAAAAGCCUGAGGACUUUAAUACAUGGUAGGAGAUAUAAGUUAUUCUUUAGGCUCCAAUAAGUCAGCAGUUUUGAGUUGAAAAGGCGCAUGAUUAAUUUAUAUUUUAGCUACAAGUAAUCCAAUGGCCUCCUAUGUAUUGCCUGAAAUAAUUAAGGGCUCUUCAUUACUCCUGGG
rnacentral:lncRNA from 1 species